UAACUCUAUUAUAUGAAUAAAAAAUUAAUAUGGACAUAUCUAAACAAGUGUAUACCUUCUCCUGGCUUCGUUUCUUUAUCAUUUUCGGAAAAAUAGAUAUUUUUAAAUGAAAAUUUCAAUACCUUUCAGAUAAGACAAAUUCCAAUUAUAUCGGAAUUUGUUGGGCAAAAAUUUUUUUGUGGGGAAGAGGAACAGGAGUUUCGAAUAAUUCACACAAGUUGACUUUGUUUUUUCAUAACUUACAGAAAAAAUGAUAUUUUUUAAAUGAAAUUUCUUACAAAUAGCUUUCAGAUGGUAUAUAUGACAAUAUCGGAAAUAAAUGUUAACAAAAAAAAAAAAAAAAAAAAAAGAUUUAAUGGUUUGUGCACACACGUACAUAGUGAUAAACUUCACUUAAUUUAUUAUUUUUUCAAAAUUUUAAGUUUCAUUUUGUAGAUAUUACAUGUGAUACGUGCCACUAUGUAUGUGUGCGCGUCCCCCAAUUUUUUCCCCCCACAUUAAAUUUCGAUAUAAUUGUAAUCUACACCAUCGGAAAGGUAGUUGUAGUGAGUUCAUCAAAAUAUUCAUUUUUCUGAAAGUUAUGAGGAAACAAAGUUGAUGGUGGGCACACUUGUAUAGGUAUCCCAGAAUAUGGUGACUACGUUUUUCCACAUUAAAUUCUGAUAUAACUGUAAACUAUACCAUUUAAUAAGUACAUGAAGAAAAUUUCAUUUAGAAAUACUUAUUUUUUAAAAAGUCAUGAAGAAUCAAAUUCGUGGUGUGGGGUUGCACACAUGUAAGGGUAUGCGAGAAUAUGAUGACUACGAUGACAAUAAAAAGGACAACAAUGAAGAGUUAAUAUAUCUAGGAAUAUGUUAUUCCGUGUGUCCUUUCUAUCGUGAGAGUGAAUUCUGAAGGAUAUUAGGAGACUACUUCUAGGAAGGUGAAAGAGACCAGCAGGAGACAAGGCAGUCCAUGACCUUUUACAGGGCCCUCCGAAACUGGAGGGAGGGAUAGAGAAAGAUAUCCUGAAACCGGAAACCUGGCCCGAAUGCUUGCAACAGACUGGACCCAGUUAAAAGAACUGAAGGUGCCAGGUGAUGGUGUUAAACUUGGCAGCAGGUUAAGUCUAUUUCCCACUUUUAGUAAACACAUUUCUUACCAAAUAUGAAAAUUUAUUUCAAUAAAAACACUGCCUCACUGUGAGAAGUAUAUACACGUGAUUCGAUGACAUGUUUUUACUCACUGUUGCAAAUAGAUGAAUAAAUAAAUAAAUAAAGCUUA